rfam:Cavia porcellus supercont2_119 genomic scaffold, whole genome shotgun sequence.
AAUGCUUUGCUGAAGCUGGUAAAAUGGAACCAAAUCAACUGUUCAAUGGAUUUGGUCCCCUUCAACCAGCUGUAGCUGCGCAUUGAU